rnacentral:rRNA from 1 species
GACAGAGGGGGCAAGCGUUGCUCGGAAUUACUGGGCGUAAAGGGCGCGUAGGCGGGAUGGCAAGUCGGUCGUGAAAUCCCUCGGCUCAACCGUAUUUAGUCGGUGGAAACUGCAGGACUUGAGGCUGGGAGGGGCUGGUGGAAUUCCCCGUGUAGCGGUGAAAUGCGUAGAGAUGGGGGAGAACACUCGUGGCGAAGGCGGCCAGCUAGACCAGUUCUGACACUGAGGCGCGACAGCGUGGGGAGCAAACAGG